AACGAUGAUCCCAGCUUGCUGGGGGAUUAGUGGCGAACGGGUGAGUAACACGUGAGUAACCUGCCCUUGACUCUGGGAUAAGCCUGGGAAACUGGGUCUAAUACCGGAUAUGACUCCUCAUCGCAUGGNGGGGGGUGGAAAGCUUUUGUGGUUUUGGAUGGACUCGCGGCCUAUCAGCUUGUUGGUGGGGUAAUGGCCUACCAAGGCGACGACGGGUAGCCGGCCUGAGAGGGUGACCGGCCACACUGGGACUGAGACACGGCCCAAACUCCUACGGGAGGCAGCAGUGGGGAAUAUUGCACAAUGGGCGCAAGCCUGAUGCAGCGACGCCGCGUGAGGGAUGACGGCCUUCGGGUUGUAAACCUCUUUCAGUAGGGAAGAAGCGUAAGUGACGGUACCUGCAGAAGAAGCGCCGGUUAACUACGUGCCAGCAGCCGCGGUAAUACGUAGGGCGCAAGCCG
rnacentral:rRNA from 1 species